GGGCUGUUGCUGGUUCUCUAGGGAGCAUGUGCACGCCUUGUCAUCUUUAUAUCUCCACCUGUGCACCUUUUGUAGACCUUUCAGGUCUAUGUUGCUUCAUUUACCCCAAUGUAUGUUAAUAGAAUGUUGUGCCUAUAUAAUAUAUACAACUUUCAGCAACGGAUCUCUUGGCUCUCGCAUCGAUGAAGAACGCAGCGAAAUGCGAUAAGUAAUGUGAAUUGCAGAAUUCAGUGAAUCAUCGAAUCUUUGAACGCACCUUGCGCUCCUUGGUAUUCCGAGGAGCAUGCCUGUUUGAGUGUCAUUAAUAUAUAUAUCAACCACCUCUUCUUGAGUGGUUUGGAUGUGGGGGUUUGCUGGCCUCUUAAAAGGGUUCAGCUCUCCUGAAAUGCAUUAGCAGAACAACCUGUUCAUUGGUGUGAUAACUAUCUACGCUAAUUGAAUGUGAAGGGCAGUUCAGCUUUCUAACCGUCUGUGGACAAUUUCAUUAUUAAUGUGACCUCAAAUCAGGUAGGACUACCCGCUGAACUUAAGCAUAUCAAUANGNGGAGGAA
rnacentral:rRNA from 1 species